GACGAACGCUGGCGGCGUGCUUAACACAUGCAAGUCGAGCGGUAAGGCCCUUUCGGGGGUACGACGAGCGGCGAACGGGUGAGUAACACGUGGGUGACCUGCCCUCAGCUCUGGAUAAGCCUGGGAAACCGGGUCUAAUACUGGAUAUGACUCCAUGACGCAUGUUGUGGGGUGGAAAGCCUUGUGCGGCUGAGGAUGGGCCCGCGGCCUAUCAGCUUGUUGGUGGGGUGAUGGCCUACCAAGGCGACGACGGUAGCCGGCCUGAGAGGGCGACCGGCCACACUGGGACUGAGACACGGCCCAGACUCCUACGGGAGGCAGCAGUGGGGAAUCUUGCGCAAUGGGCGAAAGCCUGACGCAGCGACGCCGCGUGAGGGAUGACGGCCU
rnacentral:rRNA from 1 species